GUUCUCACUACUUGAGGACCUCUCUCUUCCCUGCUCUGAGAGACCCAGUACAGUGCAAUCACAGAUGCUGUUCAGCUAGAGACUGCAGCUAUUGGAUACUGGUCUUUGUCCACCCUUACUUUGCAAUUUCAGGGUAAUUCACUCUGUCCCAGUGCUAUGAACCUCAGGAGACAAUUCAGAGGGAGAGCCUUCCUCUCUGAUCCAGUGGCAUCAGUCGCCUGUUGCCCCAUCUAUGAUGGCUCCUGCCCUUGGGAGGCAAGGUCCUUCUUGUUCCUGUCACUGUGCUGAGUACACCAGGCUGCUGGGCCAUCACAUGGCCAUUUCUCCUGUCUCCAUCACGUCCCUUGGGAUAGGAGUUCCGGGGUUACAGACGCAUGCCACCCACCUGGCUUUUUACAUAGGUUCCAGUGAUCAGAUUGAGUCGUCAAGUUUGAAGUAACAGUGUUUUCAUCUGCAGGGCCACCUCCCUGGAGCUGACACAUACUGCUAGAUCUGUUAAUGCAUCCAAACUGUGGGUCUCAAUUAAUACAUCUCCCUACCAGCUACUCUUUAAUCAGAGACUAGGUAAUAGCAGUUUACAGAUUCAGCACCUUGGACAGAGCUAGUUCGUGCGUGCGUGCCUAUGUGGGUAUGGGUGUGUGUGCUCCCGGGAGUGCCCACGUUAGCACCUGCUAAUGUAAUCCGCAUUCUAAAACUACUAUUUGCAUCAAAUGUGUGACCCAUAUGAGAAAAUACUGCACUCCCCACUUGUCGCUCAGUGGUUCUGGCGAGAUUGCCAUAAAGAUUUUACAAGUCCAA